UCUUGCGCAUACAGUUCUCAUUCCAACCCUCAGCCCAGGACGUGCGUUGUUUUAACUAAUUUUAGUUUAAGGUGUUGAAAAUGAAGCUGUGAACAUGAAGAUUUCCAACGACAGCAAAUUGACAAAAGACAAGUUAUUCCAAUGCUUAAAGAAGAAUGUCGAUUAUCGAAUCACAAGAGAAAAUUUGUAGAUGCUGUAAAUCGAAGCAAUACACAAAAUGCUGAAGGAACUCAGCAGGACAGGCAGCAUCUAUGGAAAAGAAUACAGUUGAAGUGUUUCAACUAUCGCCUUGUAUUUCUUCUCCCCUCUCCCCCACCUUUUAUUCCUCAUCCUUUUUCCAUCCAGCCCUGAUGAAGGGUCUCGGCCGGAAACGUUGAUUACUCUUUUCCAUAGAAUCUGCCUGGCCUGAGUUCCUUCAGCAUUUUGUGUGUGUUAUGCGCACUGUCAGUAUCAUUUUCCCAGGUUCAAAACGUCUAAUACUAGAGGUGAAAUUGAAUAAUUUCAAAGGAGAUGCACGGGAAAACCCUGCUUCGCAGAGAUAUGAUGUUGGAAAUGGAAGCAAUGUUUUCAGUGCAUUCAUGGCUAUCUCAGGAUAUUUAGCAUUGACUUUGAUCCAGAAUGCCGGCAGAGAUGUUAUGUCAAACAUACUUUUCAGCCCACUGUCAUUUGCAAACUCAAGGAGUUGAUCUUCUUCCUACACUGACAUGGAUGACGCAUGGGUAAUGACCUUGCGUGCAUUCAAGUUCAACAGUGGGCGUGACAGGGAAUGAGGAAAGGUGAAGCUGACUCAUAUCAUUUCAUAUCGCCAAAUCAUAUCGUUUCCUCACAACCUGGUAGCACGUGUUUUGUGGCCUGGUACCGGUCCACGGCCUGAUGGUUUGGCACCACUGUCUUAUAAAGAGAAACCAAACAGCUAAAGUGACGACAGGACUUUCCUCCCGAUGAGCUCAAUAACAUCUAUGCUUGCUUUGAAGGUCAAAACAUGGAGGAAGCAACACCAACUCCCAGAGCCACCGGUGACACUGAGGUAGUAUCCUUAAGGAGGGUGAACCCAUGGCAUGCAUCUACCUUCCUGGCCAAGUACUAAAGCCCUGUGGUGAUCAGCUGGAUGGAAUAUUCAGUGAUAUCUAUAACCUCCACAAAACAACCAAUCUCAUGGGCAAUGUCAGUAAAAGGAAACCCAAUUCUGAGCCUGUGAAGAACGAAGGGGCUGGACAACUUGUAGGUAGAAUGUUUAGUUGGGCAUUCAGUUACUGGUUCAGCAUGUCAUCGUAGAACAACGGACCUGUUCCUGAACAGCACUGUUCUGUUUUAGGAUGCUCUCUGCUCUAGUUUGCAACAAGAGACCACAGAUCUUUCAAAGCAGAACAUAAGGAACAGAUAUACACUCAGUGGCCACUGAAUUAGAUUCCUUGUGUACUACUGAGCCCAUCCACUUCAAGGACAUAUUGUCCAUUCACAAAUGCUAGUCUGCACACCAUUGAUGUAAUUUGAAUUACCAUCGCCUUCCUGUUAGCUUGAAGCAGUCUGGCAAUUCUCCCCGACCUCUCUCAUUAGCAAAGCAUUACACAGACCUGCUGCUCACUGGAUUUUUUUUGUUAGUUGCAACCUUCUCUGUAAACUCUGUGAAAAUCCCAGGAGAUCAAUAGUUUUGAGAUGCUCAAACCACUCCCCCCCCCACCCCGCCACCAGUAAUUAUACUGUGGUCAAAGUCACAUAGAUGACAUUUCUUGCCCAUUCUGAUGUUUGGGUUGGAAAGCAACCAAACUUCUUGACCAUGCUUUUAUGCAUUGAGUUGCUACCAAGUAAUUGGCUGAUUAGGUAUUUGCAUUAAGAGUGGCACAGUAGCAUAGGGGUUACAACAACGCUUUAAAGAACAAUAACCUAGGUUCCGUUCUUGCAGCUGUCUGUCAGGAGUUUGUACAUUCUCCCCAUGUCCAUGUGGGUUUCCUCUGGUUUCCUCCCAGUAGGUUAAUUGGCCAUUGUAAAUUAUUCUGUGAUUAGGUUAGGAUUAAAUCGGGGGAAUUGCCGGGUGACAAGGCUCGAGAGGUUGGAAGGGCUUAUUCCACACUGUACCUCAAUCCAAAAAUUAAUUAAUGAGCAGGUGUACCUAAUAAAGUGGCCACCGAGUGUAUUUCCCUCUGGUUUGAUUCACUUCUCUCUUUUUUCAUUUUUUCCUCCCUAAAAUCUACUGAUCUAAACCUUGCGUGUUCUCAGUGGCUGAGGAGCCAUUGUCCCUGAGAUCUACAUCCUUCCCAUCCCAGUUGUAAACGCUAGGAUGAGAAGGACUUGAGCUCCACAUGAGAUUCUGGCUCCUGGUCUAGACUUUCUACUGAGAGGAGGCAGCCUUCUUGUUCUUCAGCACUUUCCUCAGAAUGUUACAUAAUGCAUUGAGAUUGCCUCACUUUGUUUUAAAUCUCCAGUAAGUGUUGGUCCACAUCCACCAUGUCCAAAAGAAGGCACAUCUGGCGGUGGCACAUUCCCACAGUAUUGCUACUGGCAGGUAGCUCUGUCAUGGAGCAAACAUCAGCUGUGUGAUAGACAUAGCAGAAGGAUACCUAUCUGGAGGGUGAUGAUCAUGGUGUUCUGGGACCCUGGUCCAUGUGAUUUUUAUAAAUGACUUGGAUGAGGAAGUGAAAGGUGUGUUAGUAAGUUUGCAGAUGAGAUGAAAGUUGGGGGUGUUGUGGAUGGUGUAGAAGGUUGUUGUAGGUUACAAUGGGACACUGACAGGAUUCAGAGCUGGGCUGAGAAGUGGCAGAUGGAGUUCAACUCAAAGUGUGAAGUGAUUCAUUUGGAAGGUCAAAUGUGAAGGCAGAGUAGCUGAGUUAAUGGCAGAGUUCUUAGCAGCAUGGAGGAACAGAGGGAUCUUGAGGUCCUUGUCCAUAGAUCUUCAAAGGUGUCACACAAGUUGAUAGAGUGGUUAAUAAAGGUGUAUGGUGUGUUGGCCUUCAUUAGUUCAAAAGCUGUGAGAUAGUGUUGCAGCUCUAUAAAAUUCUGCUUAGACCACACUAGGAGUAUUCUGUUCUGUUCUGAUCACCUCCUCCUCAUUAGAGGAAGGAUGUAGAAACUUGAGACAGUGCAGAGGAUGCUCCCUGGAUUAGAGGGCAUGUUUUAUGAGGAAAGGUUGAGCUAGGGCUUUUUGUCUUUGGAGAGAAGGGCAUUGAGAGUUGAUUUGAUAGAGGUGUACAAGAUGAUAAGAUCAAGGGGACAGACAGAGACUUUUUCUCAGAGUGGAAAUAGAUAAUACAAAGCUAGAGAUGCAUGGCAGGACACAGGGUGAACCAGAAUCAGAAUUAGGUUUAAUAUCACUGGCACUGGCAUGAAAUUUGUUGUUUAGCAGCAACAGGACAGUGCAAGACAUAAUAAUAACUAUAAUUUACAAUAAGUAUAUCCAAAAAAGAAAAUUAAAUUAAAUAAGUAGUGCAAAAAGAGAGGGAAAAAUAUCGAGGAAGUGUUUAUGGGUUCGUUGUCCAUUCAGAAGUCUGAUGGUGAUGGGGGGAGAAGGAAGAAGCUGUUCCUGAAACACUAUCUUCAGGCUCCUGGAGUUCCUCCCUGAUGGUAGCAAUGAGAAGAGGGUAUAUCCUGGCUGAUGGGAGCCCUUAAUGAUGACAUUUCUGAGUCCUUCCUGAGGCAUUGCCUUUUGAGGUGUCCUGGAUGCUGGGGAGGCUAGUGCUGAUGAUAUAGCCGGCUGAGUUUACAAUUUUCUGCAGCUUUUUCCCAUUCUGGGUAGCAGCGUUCGACCUGUGAAGGUUAAACACAGAAUAUAGGAACAGGCCCUUCAGCCCGCAAUGUGUGCCAAGCUCAUUUAGUAAUCAAAUACCCAACUAAAUUAAUCCCUUGUGAUAAAGAUAAGCUUUAUUUAGCACAUGCACAUCAAAACAUCGAAAUAUAAGAUGCAAUGUUUUUGUGUCGAUGACCAACACAGACUAGGGCAGCCUGUGAGGGUCACCAUGCUUCCAGUGCCAACACAGCAUGCCCACAACUCUCUAACCCUAACCUCCAUGAGUCUGGAAUGUGGGGAAACCUGGAGCACCCACAAGGUCUCAUGGUCAUGGGGGAAACUCCUUACAGACAGAGGAGGGAAUUGAAUCCUGAUUACUGAUGGCUGCUGCUGAUGUUCAUAUCCCUCUGCUCUGCACAUUCAUUCACAUGCCUGUCUAAGAAUCUCUUGAACACCUCUAUUAUAUUUGUCUCCACCCACACAGUGUAAAAAAACAUGCCUUGAACUCAAAUGCAUACCCUCUGGUAUCAGGCAUUUUAGCCCUGGGAUAAAGAUACUGGCUGCCUAGCAUGUCUAAAAAAAGUCAAGUCACUUUUUAUUGUCAUUUCGACCAUAACAGAUUGGAGCAUUGCAGAGUUCAAGGUUCAAUUCCAGUGCUAUGCCAUAAGGAGUCUCUGUAUAUCCUUCCCGUGGAAUGCAUGGGUGCUCAGGUUUCCUCCCACAGUCUAAGGACAUACUGGCUAGAGCAGUGGGGAUGCCAAGCAGAAUAGUGGAAUGCUCCUCCUGUGCAAUAUAUGAAAGCAUCCAGUGUCCCUGACAAUACACAGUGAUGCCUAGAAGCUGCCCACUUUCCAAAAUGGAACAUCAGAUGGAGUAAAGAGUAACCAUCUUCUGCCUGGGAAAACCUCUAUAGUUUUCAUAACUCGGGUUUCUUCAUGCUCUUUGGUAAAGUUUCACAUGGUUUUGCAGAUAAACAAAAGUUGUUUACUGAGAUAAGUUGAUCUCUGUGUCAGGGCUGGUGAUCUGGCCUACAGUGAUUUAAUGUGAAGUUUCUAUAGUCCAUUGUAAAACUAUCUGAAAAUAUUGUACUUUGCUGAAUAAGGUAUUUUUUUGAGCCUUUAAACAAAAUUUUAACAUUUUAAUUUUUGCUGAACAAUCUCUAA